UCCUCUCCUUGGUGUGGCUUUGGAGAUUUUUUUUCACCCUCUCAGAAGAGCUCUCCCAAGCAGCUGCAGGAAUCAAGGAGAAACAACCAUUCCUGCUCUAGCACCUCUCGUCCUUGAAGGACAGACUAGAAAGAUGAGGAAAAGAGCAGAGCCAAGCCCCCAGAAUAGCCUGGUCUUCCCUCGAGUCCAGGCAAAAACAGAUGUCAGAGCCUCAACCAUUCACAUCUGCUCCUGCCCAGCUCCCCCGACCCCAGUAAGCUGAGACCAACAUCCAAUGUAAAUAUAUUUGAAAACAAUAACAAAAGCAUGUAUGCAUUCCUAUACGCGAGGCACUCCUUUAAAUGCCUUACAUGCGUCAUCCCAUUUGGAACCCCCAUCCGUCUUGGAUGUGCAUAUUAUAACCUCUAUUUAACAGACGAGAAGCCAGGUCACAGAGAGCAGGUAAGUUGCCUGAUGUCACACAGCUGGCAAGGAGCGACAGAUCUUUCAAAUUAGGCCUUUCUGACUUCUAGGCAGUCACAGAGAUGGGUGUUUGGUGGGGCAACACCAAUGAAGAAUGCCUAAGACUGUAUUUGGAAAAUGUCUCUGCUGGAAUUUUUAACAGUCACUGCCCUGGAGCCCUGCUUAGAGGGUUGCCUGGCAGGGGUGGCAUCUCACAGCAACAGAGAGUGAUCUGCCAUGGUCACGGGGAGUAGUUUGCAUCUGUCAGGCACGUCGGGUGUGGGGGGAGGCCUAAGCUUUUUACUAAGAAGAUUUUGGAGAGUUAAGUUCUCGUUUCAAGGGCUUAUCAGAGAAAUCCCCUUCACCAGAAGGUGAAUGGUGGAAUAAAGUCAAACCAGUGGAUAGCCCACUGAGCGUGAAGCGGGAACUUGAUUCGGAUACCAGGGGAGGAUCAGUCUGCAGUCAGGGUGGAGGAAGAGAAGUCUGAAGGGAAGACGCAUGCUCUGCUUCCUGGAUGCUGCUCACAGGCAGGGUGAGGAGGUCACCCCUAGGAGAUGGCGUCUGUCUAUGAAUUUGGAUGUCGCAAUAAUCUUUCCCCUCCCCAGACACAUCCUUGAUAUGCACUGUAUUUGUGCGUAAUAACAGUGGCACGUCGGGGUGCAAUUUCUGAGCUACACAUAUUCUUCUGACCCCUCCAGCCAGUUCUCAGCAGAUCUUAAUUGCACAGUGCAGUCGAUCCUACAGAUGGACCCUUUGUCUCUGCUCGUCCAACGUCAGCAGUAGACUGGAGAAGAGUCCCUGGCCCUCUCGGGAGCCUUUGCACCAAAAUCCAAGUAGCUACUCUGAGUCAUCAGGGAAUGUCUUUUUCGUUGAAGGAGCCAGCAUCUCACCCAUGAAAAUCUUUUAUUACCACCAGACUGUCUAAAAGUAUCUGUUUAUCAGGGAAGAAAAAGGAGCUCCAUUUUCUUUCCAUCACACCUAUUACUCCCAGUGGUCCUCAUUCAGAGGCAAGUGAUACAUUUCCCAGAACAUGUUCAAAGUUCUCAGACCCAGCCCAAUGCUUCUGUUUCCCUCAAUAUACCUGGCUCAUGCCUGACUCUCUCCAUUGUUCCCAUCCCCUGACUUUAGCCUCCUCUACCUUGAUGCACCUCCUGGCCACCUUCCUGGUUUCCCAUCUUUGGCUUCAUUUCCUGAGCUUGCUCAUCUCAUCCCUCUGGCAGAGCUCCCCGUGGACUGAUAAUUCCGUAAUAAAUGUUCAGUUUUGUGUGUCCAAGAUACUUAUCCAUGUUAUGAGAUCUAAGAGGGAAACCCUUGACCCCUGGAUUCCAUUGCUUCUUGUUCACCACAACAACUGGAAAAUUUUUGACUCUUGAAGACUUUUCAGCUCUAUUGAAUGAGUACCUAUCAUGCAUAUGUCAUACACCUACUAUGUGUACAGCCCUGGGCUGGGGAUCUAGGUAGGUGAUGGAAGCUCAUCACCUCUAGGUAGAGGGCUCAGGCUGUUGGCCCUUAAAAAAACCAGCUAUUGAACAACUAUCAGUAUUGAGGCUGCAAAGAACAAAGAAUUUCAUUGGGGAUCUUAAGAACUGAGAUUUCGAAGACACAGAUUUGGGUAAAACCAAAAGGGUUUUGGGAAAGAGUCAAGGGCUUAUAAAAUGGAAAAACCACAAGGUUGUUCAAGGAUUAUGAUUGACCUUGAUGCAAGAAAGGAAAUAUUGGUCCCUUUUUUUUUUUAACGGCCAAGCCACAUCUUCAACCUACACCACAGCUUGCAACAAUGCCACAUCCUUAAUCCACUAAGCGAGGCCAGAGAUUAAACUUGCAUUCUCACAGAGAUUAUGUCAGGUCCUUAACCCACUGAGCCACCAUGGGACCUCUGGAAAUAUUGGUUUUUAAGGGUUAGGUUGUCAUGAGUUAUUUAGGGUAAGGGCACUAUUAAGUAUCUUGAGUUUCUGGGACACAGGGCAGAUGUUCUGGAUGCCUACAUUGAGAAAGAAGUGGUCAAGUUCAGAGUCUAUCUGGGCUGAGAUAUACAUAAGUCAUCUUUCCUCAGUGCCCCCCCACUCCAUUUCAGAGAGCUCUCUUAGCAAUACCAGCUCCCUUUUGAUCUUCCUUUCACAUAGGGAGAGAAAUUCUUAAUAUGUAACCUAUGGACCCCUGGGAGUACAUGGAUGGUUCCAAGUUAUUUGAAAACAAGGCGUACAUUUUUUUUCCCUCAUCCUACAUUGUAAAUUACCUAUCUGGAAAAGCAUUUGCAUGUCAAAUGAUAUUAUUAAGUUACUGUUUUAUUCUAACAAGUGCUAUCAUCAUGGUCACCAUUUUAUGAUAGCUAGAAGAGGACCUCAAUGAUGGCAAAGAAGAAAACAUAACUGCCAUUAAGAUUCUAUAGUGGCUGGUCUACAUCAGUCCUAGCUUGAACUUGAAAAUAUCAUCAUAGCUCACAUAGUCCCUCUCAUACUUUCAUGUGGGACUCCAGUGUAGCUGUCCUUUUGUAUGACUAUGACCUUGCCGAAGAACACUUAUAGCCAACCUCACCAUCCUUAGUCUAACACUGAAGAGUGUGAGUCAUUGGCAAAAAAAAACCAAAAAUGAACCCAAAGCGAAAACCAACAGCAUUCUCCUAAAGAACAACAGCAACAACAAUGAAAAUUCAAAAUGAUGCAAUAAGAAUAAUGGUUAAGGGAGUUACCUUGUGGCUCAGCAGAUUAAGGAUCCUGUGUUGUCACUGCCAUGGCUGUGGUUACGGCUGUGGCAUUGGUUCAAUACCUGGCCCAGGGAAUUUCUACAUGCCCUGGAUGGACCAAAAAGAGAAAGAAAAAUAAAAAAAGAAUAACGGUCAACAUUUAAGGAUCACUUAUGAGGUGUCAGGCAUCCUGCUGAGGACUUUGCAUACCAUAGUUCCCUUCUUUAUCCUCGAAAACCCAUACAUUAUCAUUCUUCACACUUUUCAGAUCCUCUGAGGGCUGAAGAGAUUAAAUAACUUGCCCAAGGCCAUACAGCUGGGAAGGGGUAAGCCAAGAUGCACCUUUAUCUUCCCAGACCACAGAGGACUGUGGCACUGAGCUCUGGGACCUCACCACCAUUCUUCUGAUUCUUUGGAGGGGAGGAGUCUUGUGUUCUAUUAUUAGCAAGAGAAAACUUUCCUGGUGGAUGAUACAUUGCGGAACUGCCAGUGGGCUGACAUGGGUCCUCAAGGUAGCUGUGCAGCUGAGAACAGUGCUCUGCUCUCUUUGACCCAUUAGUGGAGGUAUCAACUCCAUACCUGUGACAGGGAACUCUACUCAAUGUGAUAACCUCUAUGGGAAAAAGAAUCUGAAAAAGAAUGGAUAUGUGCAUAUGUAUAACUGAACCACUUUGUUGUUGAGGAGAAAUUAUCACAUUGUAAAUCAACUAUAAUUCAAUCAAACUUUAAAAAAAGAAAGAAAUCCAGGAAUCUUAUCUGGAAAGAUGUAGAAGGUGCUAUGUGAGGAUAAAAUUCUGUGUUGUUCACUGAGAAUCUUUUCCCUGUACUUCUCAAUCCUGCCCCCCACCUGGACUCUACCAGGUCAACCAGUUGUGAAAAAGUGAAACUGACAGCACUUAUGACUUGAACCUUGCAUAAACCCAGAUUGGGACUUGAACCUACAGUUUUUAAAUUAGAAUCAUGUCUGGACUUACUGAGGUUCAGGUUCUUUGUGCCCCAGCAGAGAAGGAAUUCAGCAAGAGACAAAGUGAUAGGCAAGAAAUAGAUUUAUUAAGAUAAGAUGCUUGUGAGAGAUACAAGCAGACAGGCAAGGAGUCUCUGAGACUAGAUGGGCUAUAGUUUUAUAAUCCGAGGGAACUGGGGGUGGGAAAAGACCGCCUCUUCCUCUUUCUUUGAGUAGUAGGCACCUCCUUGGUAUCUGGUAAGAGAGUAUUUGACCCUAUAAGGUCAAACCAGGACUGUCGUGGUGCUUAUUCACUUCAGCAGAAGGGCCGUCCUUAAACUCCUGCCCUCAGUCCUAAGGGUCAGUGUCUUGCUGAACUUGAAUGCCUGUCUCAUUUUAUCUUUCGCUUAAUGACCUGAGGCAUAUUUCAUGCUUUCAUUUGCGGUUUUGCAGUUAAGCAAAACCACAUUUUGCUUAACUACAAAACCAUUUCAUUUGUUCUGGUGGCUUUUUUGAGUGAUUGAGAACUUGCGGUGGUCUCCAAAAUUUCCUAGGUUUCCCAAUCUAUCUAUGGACCCUUACUGGGACUUCUGCAGCUACCUGUAUAAUUAUCCCACUCCAUCCCUAUCAAAAGCUUUCUCUAUGCCCUGCCUCACUGAGGAAGGGUGAUACAACCUAAAACAAAAGCUCAGCUGCUUUUCAGAUGACUACCAUAAUAGUCACAACCAUCUUAAAAGUUAAGACACCUCAUCAGAGGUGAGAAGAUGAUCAGGGACCAGACGCCCCUGGUCCCUGGAUAUCCUUUUGAUAUCCAUCCUCUGAGGAGAAGCAGAAGAAAAAUAAACCAAGCAUUCAGAAGUCAUUGUAUGUUUAUCCCAAAGAAUUUUAAGCAAGACUUUGCUGACCCUCCUGGUGUUUUUGCAAGAUUAAGUUCUCCCCUAUCCUUGGAAUUUGGAUCAUGAGAGCGAAGACUCUCUUUUAUCUAGAAAUAAAGCAAAUUACAUUGCUUACAAACCUGAGUUUUGGAAACUGUUGUGACUAUGAACAUUCACUACCCAACAUUUGCCAAGGGGUGGGGGAGGAAUAGCUGUACAGACAAGUUCAUUAUGACACCACUGUUUAACUGUUUGG
rnacentral:lncRNA from 1 species